AUGAGAGACAAUGAACCACAUGAGAUACCGGCUCAGACGUCGCCCGGUCUAACAAGGUCUGCGUCAGGUGUUGGGGAACCAGAGCACCUUGGCGAGAAGUGGGCUACUGGAACAAGAAAGAAAUGGCUGAGAUGUGAGAACAAGGCUCUGUUGGAAUGCUACUACUCAAGUAACCCUAGUCAGAGGGGUUACAUGCAAAGAAUGAGCGGUGAAUGGGAACGGAGAAACCCACAUUCAAGGCUGACGGCGAAACAACUAGUAGCUCAGUGUUCCAACAUCCACAAACGGCAACUGCUAUCACAACUUGAGAUUGACGAGAUACAACACAAAUGCUACGGCAAGGGGGAGCCAGGACGCCAGGUCAGAGGGGAGAUUUCACCAUCUCCCCAACCGGAAAUUGGGUACGAAGCCCCAAUAAGCACAGAUACGCUGAGCGAGGCAGCAACUGACCUGAAAGAUAAGAUCAUGGCGAGAUUGAACAGGCAACCCCGAACCCCACUACAACGGCUAAGUGAAGUACCAUCAGAAAGUCUCAUGGAAGAUGUGAAUGCAGCAUUGAGAGCGAUCCCUACCACAACAAUCACAGAAACCAAUGAGCUGAUAUACGCUUCAGCAUUGAUCCUAGAGGUGCUUGGCUAUAAGAGCAACCAUGGGAGCCAUGAGAAACAAUACCCACCAUGGAAACGAAGGUUGGAGGCAAAAAUCAAGGCAGCUCGGAGGGAAGUGAGCCAAAUGACAGAGGCCCAGAGAGGUGCAAUGAAAAGACCAAUGCCCAAGAGGUACAGCCAGAUGACCAUACCUGAAGCACUCAAAACUGCCAAGCAAAGGCUACAAGCCUUGGCCAGCCGCCUAAAGAGAUACACCAGAGAUAACGAAGCCAGACGAAUAAACCGGCUGUUCGCAACACAACCUGCGAAAGUGUACUCUCAAUGGCAGGGUAAUAAUAAUAUAGCAGAGCAGACCCACCAAGGCUGGAAACUGAACAGUACUGGAAGGGUAUAUGGGAAAGGGAGGCAUCACACAACAGUGAUGCACAGUGGCUGGUGGAUCUGA
rnacentral:lncRNA from 1 species